rnacentral:RNase_P_RNA from 1 species
AUCGUGUUAGGAAAGUCCAUGCUAGCACAAUCUGAGAUGAUUGUAGUGUUUGUGCUGAUUUAAUAAAUAAGGUCAGGAACCAUAUGGUUACGGCGGAAGAAGCCUAAGUCAUUGAUAUGGUGUAUUCUAUAAAGUGCCACAGAAACGAAUUUUUUGGAAACGAAAAAAUGAAACGUUGGUAAACCCCGCAAGCUAGAAACCCAAAUUUUGGUAGGGGAGUCCUAUUAAGCAAACUCAAGUAAGAUAGGGACGAGAAAUCGUAGAUAAAUAGCUACCACCGAAAGGUACAGAACAUGGCUUAUAA